rnacentral:rRNA from 1 species
CAGUCGCCACGGUAAUACGUGGGGUGCAAGCGUUAAUCGGAAUUACUGGGCGUAAAGCGUGCGCAGGCGGUUCGCUAAGACAGAUGUGAAAUCCCCGGGCUUAACCUGGGAACUGCAUUUGUGACUGGCGGGCUAGAGUAUGGCAGAGGGGGGUAGAAUUCCACGUGUAGCAGUGAAAUGCGUAGAGAUGUGGAGGAAUACCGAUGGCGAAGGCAGCCCCCUGGGCCAAUACUGACGCUCAUGCACGAAAGCGUGGGGAGCAAACAGGAUUAGAUACCCCCGUAGUCCCUGUCUCUUAUAA